rnacentral:rRNA from 1 species
GGGAACCUCACCCGGCCCGGACACCGCGAGGAUUGACAGACUGAGAGCUCUUUCUCGAUUCGGUGGGUGGUGGUGCAUGGCCGUUCUUAGUUGGUGGAGCGAUCUGUCUGGUUAAUUCCGAUAACGAACGAGACCCCAACCUGCUAACUAGCCCUCGGGUCCUGCUUCUGUUGGGCCCGACGGAAUGAUUCGCUUCUUAGAGGGACUCGCGACGCCUAGCCGCACGAAGGGGGGCGAUAA